AUGAAAGAUGACGAAAAAAAUCAUUCGGAUUCCCUUUGAUUUCCCUCCGGGAAAGAUGUGAUCAUAUAACCAGCUACUUCUGAUUCAU
rnacentral:snoRNA from 1 species